AUUGAACGCUGGCGGCAGGCUUAACACAUGCAAGUCGAACGAGUGGCGGACGGGUGAGUAAUGCUUGGGAAUCUGGCUUAUGGAGGGGGAUAACGACGGGAAACUGUCGCUAAUACCGCGUACCAUAGGAUGAGCCCAAGUGGGAUUAGGUAGUUGGUGGGGUAAUGGCCUACCAAGCCGACGAUCUCUAGCUGGUCUGAGAGGAUGACCAGCCACACCGGGACUGAGACACGGCCCGGACUCCUACGGGAGGCAGCAGUGGGGAAUAUUGCGCAAUGGGGGCAACCCUGACGCAGCCAUGCCGCGUGAAUGAAGAAGGCCUUCGGGUUGUAAAGCACUUUAAGUUGGGAGGCGUUACCAACAGAAUAAGCACCGGCUAACUUCGUGCCAGCAGCCGCGGUAAUAC
rnacentral:rRNA from 1 species